GACGAACGCUGGCGGCGUGCUUAACACAUGCAAGUCGAACGAUGAAGCCGGAGCUUGCUCUGGUGAAUUAGUGGCGAACGGGUGAGUAACACGUGAGUAACCUGCCCUUGGCUCUGGGAUAACUGCGGGAAACUGUAGCUAAUACCGGAUACGACCCUCGGAGGCAUCUCCUGGGGGUGGAAAGAAUUUCGGUCAAGGAUGGACUCGCGGCCUAUCAGCUAGUUGGUGAGGUAUAGGCUCACCAAGGCGACGACGGGUAGCCGGCCUGAGAGGGUGACCGGCCACACUGUGACUGAGACACGGCCCAGACUCCUACGGGAGGCAGCAGUGGGGAAUAUUGCACAAUGGGCGCAAGCCUGAUGCAGCAACGCCGCGUGAGGGAUGACGGCCUUCGGGUUGUAAACCUCUUUUAGUAGGGAAGAAGCGAAAGUGACGGUACCUGCAGAAAAAGCACCGGCUAACUACGUGCCAGCCGCCGCCGUAA
rnacentral:rRNA from 1 species